CUCACAGGGGCUGCCUGGCCUCUUUGCCCUCUCUUGCAAUGCAAUGUGGGAGCAAGGUGUUUCUGAAGCAGAGAGAAUCAGGACACGCCUCCUGCUUGAGUACCGAGUUGCUGCUCCCACGAGAUCAGCUCCAAGGUGGGGAGGAGGGGGGAGGAGGAGGCAAUGAAGACUGCUAUGAAGACUUUUUCAUACCAGGGACCAAUAUGUCAGAUGCUGACCCUGGGAAACUUUAUUAUUUACCUCUGCUGGAAUGGGAAAGGAAAAUAGCUGGAACAAGCACAGCUCUCGGAUAGAUGUGGUGCAAUUGUCUGUACAAGGCAGCUCCAUGGGAACUCCACCAGAGAACCAGACACACUCAGCAAACACAGCCGAGCACACAGAGCAGUGAAGGAGAAGUGUGAAGCAUUAAACAUUUCCUUUCCUUUCUCUAUUACCUUCUCACAA